rnacentral:lncRNA from 1 species
UCCGCCAGCUUUAUUGGGCCACUGAUGGGAAGCCCAAUAAAAUAUGGAGCCCAACUAGGGAAGCCAGACCCUAUAAUGGGUCAAUUUUUUUCGAUAGACGGCCCAGCUGACCCACGGACGACCUCAACGGGAAUGACUGGCUUAUAUUCCUCGUCCGGGCAGGUCUACUGAGCUAAUCACGGAGAUUACAUGACCACGUUAUUUACAUCAGGAAAUUGGUGGGUAUAGAGAGAGAAGAAGACUGGGAGGGAGGGGACCUCACGCUGUUUGCAUCUGCCUGGUAGUGAUCUCCUUGUGAGAGGGCGUCGCCGUCAAGGGGAUGGUCUCGCCGCCGACGGCGGGGAGGUCGUCGGAGUGGAGCUCCGACCACUCGAGGCUGCGGACGAACUGGGUGAAGGCGGGGAAAUGCUCCGGCGAGAAGAAGUAGGCGCCCAUCCUCUGGUAGGUGAACUUGGAGACGGCGGGUUCCUCCGGGGAGGAGACCCUCCUUCCUUUUGACAGGGUCUCGCUGAUCUUGACGAAGCCCUCCGGGAGGCCGCGGACGGAGGAGUUCUCGCCGCAGACGGCGACGCCGUGCUUGCUGCAGGCCCUCAUGAUCUGGGACAGCAGGGACUCGGGGCUCGCGCGCAGGGCCGCCGGCUGGAGCUCGUCGGAGAGGUCCAUGGAGGGGAGGAUCAUCCCGCAUGAGUUUCUGGCGAACAUGCCGGCGAUGGCAUCGUAGCCGUCCCUGUUCGCCGUGUUGUAGAGUCCGGCGGCGAGCUCCGCGGGGUGGGACCGGGACUUGGACCAGGCAUGCAUUACGGGGAGUUUCCCGUAUAUCUCCACCGGGAGGUCGCCGAGCACGGCGGAGGCCAUGGAGAGGACGCGAUCUCCGUGGGCGAGGAGGUGGCCGGAGUACCAGGAGAGGAAGAAGUCCCCGUAGGGGGUCUCCCAGGACCCGCCGGCGUCCUUGAAGAAGGUGCCGGAGUCCGGCGACUGGUUGUAGGAGGGGACGUCGUGGGGGCCAGAGAGGCCCCAGAAAUGGUUCCCGGUGGCCUCGGCGUGCAGCUUGAGGUGGCCCAGCAUGUUCUUGUCGUAGCACUGGAACUCCCCAGCUCCGGCGGCCUUGCGAUUUCGUGACGCCGGCAUGGAUGGGUACUUGAGCUCGCCGUCGGGUCCCAGGCCGACCAUAAUAUCCUGAGAGAGGAAGAUAUCCCAAGAGGCGAAGAUUAAUCGUUAGUUACUGUCGCUCGAGCUCGCCAGCGGCGGAUUUAGAAGACGAACGGAGGAGAAUUAGUGGUCGCCAUUACCGUGAUGGUGGAGCCCAGGAAGCCUGAGAAAGUUUCUCUGAAGCUCUGAAGCAGCGCCCGGUAAACUUCCAUCGGUGUCUUUCCCUCGAGUACCGGGAGGUCAUCCGCUGAGAGGGAGAGGCACUCUUUGUGGAGGUUGCCGGCUCUGUCGGUGAAGAACACGCUGGGGUCUGCCUCGCCGACGGUAGAGACCCACUGCGGGAGAGGAAUCGCAGGAUCCGUGGAAGCGUGAGUGUAGAGCGAGACCCGGACCAGGAGACCCGUAUCUUGGAUCAUCUGGACGAGACCCAAGUAGCCAGACCAGUCGUACUUCCCCAUGGCUUCC